rnacentral:rRNA from 1 species
UACGUAGGGUGCGAGCGUUGUCCGGAAUUAUUGGGCGUAAAGGGCUCGUAGGCGGUUUGUCACGUCGGGAGUGAAAACUCGGGGCUUAACCCCGAGCCUGCUUCCGAUACGGGCUGACUAGAGUGCGGUAGGGGAGACUGGAAUUCCUGGUGUAGCGGUGAAAUGCGCAGAUAUCAGGAGGAACACCGGUGGCGAAGGCGGGUCUCUGGGCCGUAACUGACGCUGAGGAGCGAAAGCGUGGGGAGCGAACAGG